GGGGAGUUACAGGUCUAAUGGCUUUAGUUGCUGAUUACUUUGGUUUCAGGUGUAGGUCAGUGUUUUUGCCAUUUUAUGGGACCAUGAGGUGGUGUAAACUGGUAUUGAGAGCAUAUUAGAAGGAGCCCUGGCUGGUUUGGGCAGUAGGAAAUCACGUGACCUUGGACAGGUCACUUCCUUUCCUGAUGCUACAGUUUCUUACCUCUGAGAUAAGGGGUUGUACAGGGACAAACUGUCAGAAUCGUUCUCAGCUGUAUCCUCUCUGAUUCUAUGCCGUGCCUUUAGCCAAAUAGCGUCUUUGAGCCCCUCAAGUAAGGAGGCUCCAACACCCCGAGGGCCCCCGUGAGCUGUAGAAGUUUGCCCAAUUCCUUCUGUUCUCUGCGGAGAAGUUGCCAGUGGGCCUCAGAAGUUCUUUUGGAACCCUACCCUGUACCUCGACUCCUGACAUCUAUUUUUGCUCUCCCAUCUUGGAGUCUGCAUUUGCAGUGAUGACCAGUACAGCUGGCCAGCCAGGUGGAAGCCCCGAGUUUGGGCUAGAGAGGAGGAUUGUCUGCUGCAGUGUCGGCUUUCACUGGACCUGCCCAGCUGAGCUGCUUCCUGCAUCCCUGUCUCCUGCUGUCGCUACUAAGGGGAAUUCACGUUAUGGAAGGUGACACUGCUGGGGUGGGCAGCCCCUCCAUGGAUGCAACCAAAGGGGGGGAUCUUCCUCUCCCCAUGAGUAGGUUUCCAAAGGCCUCCCCGAAGUCCCUGUUCUGCCUCCUCCUCCUCCUUGUUGCUGUCUCUUUCUUUUUCUCCUCCCUCUUCGUUUCAGGAAGCAUUUUUUUCAAGCAAGAAAAUGGAGUUAUAUGAAUUAGAAAAAGGUCACAUAUAAUGCCAAAAAACUGGGAUACAAUAACAAUGUGCAGCAAAAAGCUUCCAAAGCUUGUACAACAUCUGUUUUUUGGGCGAUGGAGAAGCUCUGUUUAUAGCUUCAACCCCAAGCAUGCUCUUCAGGGGCUGUUGGGGACGCAAAAACCAAAAUGAGAGAGAGACACACAGGGCUUUGGAAGAACAUGGGAAUCUAAAAGGCAGCUCCAGCCACAAUUACUCAUGAAAAGUCAGAGACGAGGGCAAGUUAUUUAUUUGAUUUUUAAUCAUAAAAGGCCUCCCUAGGUUAGUCGAUUUCAGAGUCCAGAGAUAAAGCUGGCUUUCUUGUAAGAUGACUGUGAAAACAGGCAAGGAAAACCACUCUAUUCCAACCUGGAGGCUGAUUGGAAGGGCCUUUAUCAAAAUGUUAUUCUUUUCCAAAAGACAUUCAUCAUGUUCAGCAAGGCUUCGUCGUGGUGUCGCGUAGUGAAAUCUUGCCUCAGGUUAAACUAGCAGCAUUCAGGCAAAAAAUAAUCCUUCUGACUGCAUCCAGGGAGCUGUCACCAUGAUUAAUUAGCCUGGACGGUCCCAGGUGGGUGAUAAGGACCAGCAUGCUCUCGCCUCCUGUGUGUGCUUGGUCGAUGAUCGGGGCUUGGGCUCAGGUCCCCUGCAUGUCAGCCUCCUGUGGGGGGAAAGGCACCCUUAGAUCUAUCUUAGGAAAGUCAUUGGGCAGAUUUAGGUUUAAAACUGGAGAGGCAGGAGUCCAGGCUGACUCUGUGUCUCAUUUGCUCUAUGCCCUUGAGCCAGUUUCCUGGUAACCUCUGGAGCUUAGUUUUCUCACAUUCAGCAUGGCUCCGAAAGCGCCUCGUUGUCAGGCCACUGUCUCCCUCUCCAACUUCAUCGCUUCCCCUCUCCCUCAAUAGGACACCACAGCUCCCCGGCCUGACGGGGCUCCUUUCGGGGCUUUCGCCUUUCCCUUCCUCCGCUUGCCUCCGGCCUUAACCCAAGCCCUGCCCCCUGUCCGCCACAGGUUAUCUUUCCUCUAGGCUUUGCUUGGCUAACGCCUGCAUAUCCUUCGGGCCUGAACUUAAAUGUGGCUCUUUGUGACGUCUUGCUGGAUCCUCCUCUGUUUGGCAAGGCUCCCUCAGCACCGUAUCUUUCCCUAAAGAGGCGCUGGCCUCGCCUAUUCUGAUGGCUAAUUUGGGGCUGCCUCAGCUGGCCUUUGGGCUUCUUGCAGUCAGGCCGUGUGUUUAGCUUUUCCACCACUGUAGGUACCUCAGUACACUGCCUGGCACGUGGUUGAGGCUCAAAAGAUCAUGAGGAAAUAGUAAUAUGAGAUGAAAUAAGGGGAAUCCUGUGAGCUGAAUGGCACAAAUGUUAUGAGGAUAACCACUCUGCUCAUCCCCUAAAAUGUGCAUCACUCUCACUCCUUCUCACCUCCACACCCAUGCUUGACAGCUGCUGGACUUUCGAUACCCAUUUCUUGAGAAACGGGAAACGACAAAGGUCCCUGUGAAUUAGCACUGCCUUUACAUUCAUUUGUGUUUUAUUAAUCACCGUGACAUCAACAUCCCUGUGAACAUAUACGUAUGUAAGUAUUGGAAUACGCCAGCAGAGGCUAAGAUGGUGUGUGUUUUAAAAUUUAUUUUUCAGUGUGAGAGGUGAAUAAUAAUUGCUUUUGGAAUCAGGGGUCCCUCCCCUUCCCCCCCCCUCCAAUUCUUCCUGCUGGGGUGGGUGUGGGCAUCUCACAAUCACUUGAAAAGUUUCUCUGGAAGGUGAAAUCACUUUUGAGUCACCGAGAACCCUUAUUAUUAAUCAUUAUUACUAUUAUUAUUAUUGGUAGUAGUACUAUGAUGGGUAUUACUCACUUAGAAGCGUGAUAUAUAGCCCCACAGUUUGGGGAAAGGGUGUCAUCAGAUUCUUUGUGUUUUGAAGGUAUGUAGGAAAGCUGCUUCACUCUCAAGGGAAGAGAGACCACUGUCCUGGGACCAAGAGCUGGCAGAUAUCAUAAGCCAUCCUGACUCAGUACUGCUGAGAGGGUUUAGACAUCAAAUAAGCCUAAAAAAGCUCAGGCUCCGCGUUCCCAUCUUAUAAACCUAGGCAUUUCAGAGCUUAACCCUGAGUAGCUAAGAACCUCCGUGAGCACAGUGAGUUGCCGUAGCAGCAAGGAUUGGACCUGUAGGACCAGUCUUCUGUGGCACCAUGGUGGUAGAAGACUGAUCAGUCCCUAGCUGUCUGCUUGGGUGGGAAACCAGAAUGACAGCCUUCUGGACAGUAGAAGUCCCUGGGGUUCUGGGACAAUGUAAAGGAGGAGCCACUGAGAGGAAGAGAAUUGGAUUUUCUGCUAGUAAAUUUGGUGGGGAUGGUUCAUGAAAACUCAGUGGGAAUGAGUUUUACAGAUGGGGAAACAACAUAAACAAAGGCAAGGGUGAGGAAAUGUGGGGUUGAUGGGGGAACAGGAGCAGCUUGGCUUAGUUUCAUUCAUAAGGAAGAAGCAGCACGUGACAGUUGUAGGUUUACGUUGUGGAGUCGAAUAGAAUUGAGGUCCCUUUUUUCCCCCUCUCUCUUGGUUACUUGCAUACUGAUCUUUUAAUCUCCCCCCCCCCGUAAUUAUUAUGAAAAGUUUCAAACAUACAGAAAAGGUUAAACUGAGCAGUGAACAUAUCACUAGAUUUUACAAUUCAUAGUUUGCUAUAGUUGUUUCACCGUUUAUCUGUCUAUCCAUCAGUCUAUUUUUUUUUAAUGCGUUUCACAGUAAGUUGCAGACAUCAGUCCAGUCUUGCCUAAAUCCUUUGGAUACACGCCAUUAACUAGAGUUUAAUGUUUGUGGUUCUUUUAAAAAUUUUCCUUUUGAGAUAAAAUUUUACAUACAACGAAAUGCACAAAUCUUAAGCGGACCAUUAAGUGAGUUUGAUGAAUGUGUAACCCAGUGCUCUAUCAAGAUAUAAAACGUUACCAUCACCCUAGAAAACUCCCUCAUGACUCUUCUCAGGCAUUCCCUGCUCCCACAGGCAACCGUUGUUCUGAUCUUUUUCCACUAUAAAUUAGUUUUGCCUGUUCUAAAAUUUUUAUAAAUGGAUUAGUAUAGUUUGGGCUCUUUUGUGUAAGCGUACGCUCAGUACAAUGCUUUUGAGGCUGCCCCGUAUUACUGCAUUCAUGGUACUUCAUUCCACACUUUGCACAUCCAUCGUCCUAUUGAUGGACUCCUCGGCUGUUUCCAGAUUUCGACAAUUACAAAUAAAGUUGCUUCGAACAUUCUUGUACAAGCAUUUUAGCAAAUAGAGUCUUGUUUCUCUUGGGUAAAUACCUGGGAGUAAAAUUGCUGGCUCUGUAAGGGAGGUGGUGUUGGGAGACAACGUGAUUUCUCACGUUUAUGUGCAUCUGACAAGCAGGGGCACUAACUGCAUUCUCCCUGGACUGUUUUGUCAAAGAUGUUUGUAUUGUGAACAGUCUUAGAAGAUAGGAUGUCUCCCUCCAGAGCAAGGGGCAGUUUUCUGGACUGUCUAGUGGAGUAAAGAUAACGUCUCCUUCCUGGGCAAAGGUCAGGCAGGUUUACUGCUGUUUAGAAAAGAGUUGGGUUCCCUAAGGGCUUUCCUAAAGGGUCCCUCUCCUGGAAUGCCACCCACUAUGUGUGCAGUGUCACCUGGUCCUCUUCAUGUGCCCCUGUGAUGGGGACUUGGGAGGCCAGCACUGGCUGAUACUCGGCCUACUUCCAGAGCUGUGACUAAUACAUUGUUCUUUGUCUCUAACCCAAGUCGCAUGACCUCUGCCGGCAUCCAAGGAGCGGUGGCAGGUGGACUUUUUAGGUUGAAGGGCAGUAAAAGCUCAGACACUUCAGAGGUUUUGCAGAUGUAUGCUUAGUGUUUAAGAAGCUGGCAGACCUUUCUAACAAAGUUGUGUACCAUUUCCUCUAAGUGAAUUCUUUUCCAGCUUGAGUUGGAUAUGAAUUUAGAAUGAGCCUGUCAGUUUCUGUGAAAUAAUACACCUGGAGUGAUUAUUGUUGUGAUCGAUUGCCUUGAUCCUGCGAAUCAACUUGGGGACAGUCGAUAUCUUAACGCUACUGGGAGUUUCCACCCCUGAAUGUGAUACAGCUCUCCAUUGAUUUAGGUCAUCUUUCAUUUCUCCCAGCAGCAUUUUGUAGUUUUCGGUAUAGAGCUCUUAUAUGUCCUUUGUUGAAGUUAUGCCAAUGUAGUUUAUGUUUUUUACACUUUUACAAAUUUAACUUUUAAAAUUCUAAUUUCUUUUUGUAAUUGUUUGCUGCUAGUAUAUACAAAUACAUUUGCUUUUCAUAUAAUAAUCUUAUA